rnacentral:rRNA from 1 species
UACGGAGGGUGCAAGCGUUAUCCGGAUUCACUGGGUUUAAAGGGUGCGUAGGCGGGCAGGUAAGUCCGUGGUGAAAUCUCUGAGCUUAACUCAGAAACUGCCAUGGAUACUAUUUGUCUUGAAUAUUGUGGAGGUAAGCGGAAUAUGUCAUGUAGCGGUGGAAUGCUUAGAUAUGACAUAGAACACCAAUUGCAAAGGCAGCUUACUACACAGUUAUUGACGCUGAGGCACGAAAGCGUGGGGAUCAAACAGG